UCAAGCUGAAAAGAGCGCAAGGGGAAUGCCUUGGCAUCAGGAGCCGACGAAGGACGUGACAAGCUGCGAUAAGCCACGGGGAGGAGCAAAUAUCCGUUAUAUCCGUGGAUUUCCGAAUGGGGGAACCCGCUCAAGCAAUACUUGAGCAUCGUGCGUUGAAUCAAAUAGGCGUACGAAGGGAACGGCCUGAACUGAAACAUCUAAGUAGGGCCAGGAAAAGACAUCAACCGAGAUUCCGCUAGUAGUGGCGAGCGAACGCGGAGGAGGCCAAACCGGAGGAUUUUAUUCUCCGGGGUUGCGGACAGACAUCAAGACCAGAGGAAAUUAAGAGAACGGCGUGGGAAAGCCGGCCACAGAAGGUGAGAGCCCUGUAUCUGAAAAUGAAGACUGGCAGUCUGGAUCCAGAGUACCGCGGGACACGUGAAACCCCGUGGGAAACCGGGUGGACCACCAUCCAAGCCUAAAUACUACCUGAUGACCGAUAGAGGAGCAGUACCGUGAGGGAAAGGUGAAAAGGACCCCGGGAGGGGAGUGAAAGAGAACCUGAAACCUUGUGCUUACAAGCAGUCAAAGCACGUUAAAGUGUGAUGACGUACUUUUUGUAGAACGGUCCGGCGAGUUAUAGUAACGAGCAAGCUUAAGGUAUUGAGUACCGGAGGCGAAGCGAGAGCGAGUCUGAAUAGGGCGUAAAGUUCGUUGCCAUAGACCCGAAACCGGGUGACCUAUCCAUGAGCAGGCUGAAGUGAGAGUAAAAUCUCAUGGAGGGCCGAACCGACCCCCGUUGCAAUGGUGGCGGAUGACUUGUGGAUAGCGGAGAAAUUCCAAUCGAACUCGGAGAUAGCUGGUUCUCCCCGAAAUAGCUUUAGGGCUAGCCUCAUAUUAGAUACCCGGAGGUAAAGCACUGAAUGGCCUAGCGCCCGAGAGGGUAGCGAAGCCUAUCAAACUAAGAAUGCCGGAGUAUUGAUGUAUGGGAGUCAGACAGUGUGAGAUAAAUCUCAUUGUCAAAAGGGAAACAGCCCAGAUCUACAGCUAAGGUCCCAAAUUGUAUCUAAGUGGAAAACGAUGUGGAAAUACGCAGACAACCAGGAUGUUGGCUCAGAAGCAGCCACUCAUUUAAAGAGUGCGUAAUAGCUCACUGGUCGAGCGUCUCUGCGCGGAAAAUUUAACGGGGCUAAGAUACAAACCGAAGCUUAGGCUGCACGAAAGUGCGGGGUAGGGGAGCGUUGUGUAAGCGGAGAAACAGUAGCGUAAGCGGCUGUGGAGUUUACAGAAGUGAGAAUGCCGGAAUGAGUAGCGCGAAUGUGGUGAGAAUCCACAUGGCCGGAAACCUCAGGUUUUUGGAGGAAGGUUCGUCCGCUCCAAGUUAGGCGGGAGCUAAGGUGAGGCCGAAAGGCGUAGCCGAUGCACAGACGGUAGAGAUUCCGUCACCACCAAAAGAGUUAAGCACAGGGACACAUUUGAAGUCUCAGAGCCGGGUGUUGGUUCCGGUAGAGAUCGAGGGAAGUUAGUACCGAAGUCUGAGAUGGAAGAUGGCGAGAAAAGCUGUGUGUAUUUCUGAGGUGCCCGUACCGCAAACCGACACAGGUAGGUAGGAAGAAGAUUCUAAGGCCAACGGGAGAAGGGUUGUUAAGGAACUCGGCAAAUUGACCCCGUAACUUCGGGAGAAGGGGUGCUCCAGAGAUGGAGCCGCAGAGAAUCGGCCCAAGCAACUGUUUACCAAAAACACAGGUUUGUGCUAAAUCGAAAGAUGACGUAUACGAGCUGACGCCUGCCCGGUGCUGGAAGGUUAAGAGGAGAUGUGCAAGCAUUGAAUCGAAGCCCCAGUGAACGGCGGCCGUAACUAUAACGGUCCUAAGGUAGCGAAAUUCCUUGUCAGGUAAG
rnacentral:rRNA from 1 species